AUCUCCACGCAGUGCUUUCCUUCCCACCUGCUCCGCCCCCAUCGUCGCUUCCAGGGUUUCGACUGCUCGCCGGCGACGACGAGGGUGGGCAUUGCGGCGAGGGCCACCCGACCUUGUUCCUCGGAUCUGGUGCUUCUCUAGGUUCAGAUUGUAACUCGAGCAUGGGGGCGGGGAGUGCUUGCGGUCCAAGAUGUACCGCGAGCGCAGGGUUUGGUCGAUCGAGGCCAAGCAUGGCGGCACCGCCCUAGCCAGCCGUAAAUCUCUUCAAGUUCUACCAAGCUGACGACGUCAAUACGCCAUUCCCAACUGCCGCAAACCCAAGCCCGCCAAGCUCAGGUCCAAAUACCCUUCUUUAUCCCCAUGCUCUUUUGAUUUCUGCGGCGAUUUCCCUGUCUUGGUCUAAGGGUUGAUGGUUUUCGUUUCGGGGUUCGGGAAAAGGUUCGUCUUUUUGAAGCAGCUUCCGUCGGGAUUGUUUGCAGCGCUGAGCGUUUGCACAUUUAAGAUUUUUCUUCCAAAAGAGUGCCAUUUCAAUAGCCUCUGCAGGUAUCAUCUGUAACUUUUUUGUUGCUUCGAUCAUGAAAGGUUUUUUCUUUGAUUUGUAUGAGCUAGUUCAGAUCUCUCUUCAUCGAAUGGCUGCUCUCCGAUACGGCCGUAGUUUUCAUUAUAAUUAAUCGAGUGCAAGUAAAGAACGUAGUGCAUUAUUUUGAUAUUGAUUUACUGGCUUCGAAUUACUGCUCUAAUCUCAUUGGUUUCUGAUGAGGGUAAUAAUGGUGAUAAGACUUGGGUUGAAGUCAGCUGCCCCAGAUGACGCCUCGGUUGACCUGACACCACCUGGUCAAACGGACCGGAACGCUGACCGAGGCACAUUAAACAUCCUGCUCAGGCUCGGUCUUUCACGUCACGCCAACACCAAUGUCAGACGCUACUAGGAGUACGAGCUUGCCCCCUGCAAGCGGGCAUAUUAGGAAGCAAUAAGCUUCCAUAUAAAUACCCUUGCAUUCUAAAUGGGAAUGGGGGAGGACACCAACAUAGAUAACAAACUCCCUGCGACUACUCACUAACUUGAUCGUCGGAGGGGUCGGGCCGAGCUCCCUCGACCCGACCUUUGUGCAAGUGCGAAGUCGAAGGUCCCCACAGGACGCGCAGGCGAGGAGUUCUUGCCCGGAGAGGAUAGCGACCCCAUCCCAAUCGGAGCACCGGGAUCGACCACCUCAGCAGUCUCAAGGCACGUCCUAAGGAGAUCCCCGUCAUCCGGACCCGAACCAAGCCGCGUCGGUCCCGAGGCCACGACUUAAGGUUAUUUACACUAAUAUUUUUGGUGCUAGAGGAAGGGCCGGAAUGUCUAGGGAUCAACCGAUUGGCUUGAACGAACCUACGGUUGAGGGGUCACAUCCAAUUGGAGCUUCAGGGGAACAUCCCCCGCACGGAGAUCUUCGUGACGAACACCCCGCCACGACCUCAGAGCGCUAUUGGCGGAUAUUCAACGACCCGGGCCUAUCGCCGCCGACGGCGCCCCCGCCGACCCAUCGCCCGUGUCAUCCGAGGCCUUCCACGACCUCACCCAUCAAGUCCGAACUGACCGGUAUGGUGCAAUCCAUUAUUCCCCUUGUUUCUUCUCAUCCACUGCGCUCCCCGACCGUCCAACCACUGCGGCAACAGGAGCCACCCAUUCAGGCUCGCACACCACCCCGGGAGCUCCCCGCUUCGCCUCGGGUCCCACCACCCCCACACGGGGGCCGAGUGGCGGCCAACGCAAGAGGCCACCCGGAACCCGAGGCAUUAUCUUCGGACUCUACGGAUUCCCUACGAGCCCAAUUGCACUUCGUCAAUCAGCGACUCGACGAGGUGCAGAAGGAGGUCCGCAGGUCAAAGGGAGAGCUCGGGGAGGACGCACACCAAGGAUCCCCGUUUACGCCCGAGAUACAGGACCAGAUAGUCCCCCCGAACUUUCGACUCCCCUCCCUGGAUGCUUACGACGGUUCCACCGACCCAGCGGACCAUGUAGCCGCUUUUUGCGCCUAGAUGGCGCUAUACGGAACCUCCGACGCUUUGAUGUGCAAGGCAUUUCCCACGACUCUGAGGGGGCCAGCCCGCACAUGGUACAGCGGUCUGAAGACCGGGACGAUCACCUCCUUUGAUCAGCUCGUCGAAGACUUCGAGCUUAACUUCUUGGCCUACGCUCGGCCGAAGCCGUCCGUUGCACUGCUCCUCGGACUCAACUAAAGGGAGGACGAGCCCCUCUCCCAUUUUGUGAAUCGCUUUACAACACAAAUCCGGGGGUUGCCGGACGCUCAUCCCUCUCUGUUAGUGCAGGCGUUUAUGACAGGCCUGCGACCUUCCAGAUUCUUCUGGUCCCUCGUGGAGCGACCCCCCACCACAGUACCAGAUAUGCUCCAGCAGGCUAACUAGUACAUCGCGGCGGAGGCCUGGGUGGCCGUGAGGAGGAGGAGCGACUUUUGACAGCGGGCCCCAUAGAAGAAGUCAAGCACCCGCGGUGGCUAUCCGAUGUAGUCCUCGUAAAAGGAAUCUAGGCCCUGCCUCGGUCUCUUCCGAGCGAAGGCUCAAUAUCUACCUGACUGCCUCUCGGCUCGCGGUUAGCUCCGGCCUAACCCCCUUCUGUAUCUACACGGCUCGAUCGUAGACUGCCCGAGUCCACCUCAGCGCGGCCUGCCCGCUUGAGCCGUGUCCCUCGGUCGUAGUAUGCCCGAGACCGCCUCUGCGCGGCCAGCCCGCCUGCGUCAUGCUCCUCGGCUACGUGUCGCCCGAGACCACGCCUGCGCGGCCUGCCCGCCUGCGUCGUGCUCCUCGGUCGCGUGUUGCCCGAGACCACACCUGCGCGGCCUGCCCGCCUGCGUCGUGCUCCUCGGUCGCGUGUUGCCCGAGACCACACCUGCACGGCUUGCCCGCCUGCGUCGUGCUCCUCGGCCGCAUGUUGCCCGAGACCACACCUGCGCGGCCAGCCCGCCUGCGUCGUGCUCCUCGGCUCCAUGCUCCCCAAGAUCGCACCUGCGCGGCCAGCCCGCCUGCGUCGUGCUCCUCGGCUCCAUGCUCCCCGAGACCACACCUGCGCGGCCUGCCCGCCUGCGUCGUGCUCCUCGACCGCGUGUUGCCUGAGACCACACCUGCGCGGCUUGCCCGCCUGCAUCGUGCUCCUCGGCCGCAUGUUGCUCGAGACCAUGCCUGCGCGGCCAGCCCGCCUGCGUCAUGCUCCUCGGCUCCAUGCUCCCCGAGACCACGCCUGCGCGGCCAACCCGCCUGCGUCGUGCUCCUCGGCUCCAUGCUCCUCGAGACCACACCUGCGCGGCCAGCCCGCCUGCGUCGUGCUCCUCGGCUCCAUGCUCCCCGAGACCACAGCCUCUGCUCGGCCUGCUCUACUGAGUGUGCUCCUCGGCCGCACACUACCCGGGGUCACCGCUGCACAUCCAACCCUUCUUAGUUGCUAAACUCCACGAUUCCCACACCCCUGGCAACGGACCGGCAAGACGCCCGGCUGGGACAGUUUCUCAAAGUUGAAGCCAUGCCUCGGACCCCCCUUUACAGCAACCGAUGCAUAGCUUCCUUCGGGGGGGGGGGGGGGGAGGAAAGGAAUAUGAUAAGGGUAAUAAUGGCGAUAAGACUCGAGUUGAUGUCAGCUGCCCCAGAUGACACCUCGGUUGACCUGACACCACCUGGUCAAACGGACUGGAACGCCGACCGAGGCACAUUAAACAUCCUGCUCAAGCUCGGUCCUUCACGCCACGCCAACACCAGUGUCAGACGCUACCAGGAGUACGAGCCUGCCCCCUGCAAGCGGGCACAUCAGGAAACAGUAAGCUUCCCUAUAAAUACUCUUGCAUUCUAAACGGGAAAGGGGGAGGACACCAACAUAGAUAACAAAACCCCUGCGACUACUCACUAACUUGAUCGUCGGAGGGGUCGGGCCGAGCUCCCCUGACCCGACCUUUGUGCAGGUGCGAAGCCGAAGGUCCCCACAGGAUGUGCAUGCGAGGAGUUCUUGCCCGGAGAGGAUAGCGACCCCAUCCCAAUCGGAGCACCGGGAUCGGCCACCUCAGCAGUGUCGAGGCACGUCCCAGGGAGAUCCCCGUCAUCCGGACCCGAACCAAGCCGCGUUGGUCCCGAGGCCACGGCUUAAGGUUGUCUACACUAACAGUUUCUGUUUGCAGGGAAGUUAAUACUUGGAGAUGGUUGAUAGAGGGCAGGUGUUCUGUUGCUUAAGCUUGUCAAAGAUUCAGUGUUUUAGUAGAUUUUGGUAUAUAAAUUCAAAGUUCCGGAGAUUGAUGGUUGUGUUUUUCUUCAAUUGCCAAGUUGUCUGUUGGUACUGCUUCAUUCUAUCUUCUCCUGCUGCUACUGCUGGAGAGCACUUCGAGAUCAAUGCAGUCCAUCGACGUUGCUCGAAUAAGGUUUAUAUCACUGUAACAUCCACCAAGAUUCAGAUUUUUGGAGUUGAUGUUGAGAAGUUUGAUGAUGAGUAUUCCACUGGAUAGGAGAAUAAGCAAGUCCUAAGAGAAACUCUUUGAAUCAGAGGAGGUUUAUAUCAUUGCAACAUCCACCAAGAUUCUAUCUUCUCCUGCUGCUACUGCUGGAGAGCCGUUCGAGAUCAAUGCAGUCCAUCUACAUUACUCAAAUAAGGUUUAUAUUAUUGUAACAUCCACCAAGAUUCAGAUUUCUGGAGUUGAUGUUGAGAAGUUUGAUGACCGAGUAUUCCACUGGAUGGGAGAAUAAGCAAGUCCCGAGAGAAACUCUUUGCAUCAGAGGAGGUUUAUCUGCAGGAGACUAUUAGUCAUGGUUUGCUACAGUUGUGUAUAUACUCACUCCAUUGUUCAUGUGCUACGAUUUGCUUUUCGGUUGACAACACAGAUAUGUUACGAUCCCUCCCCAUAGUCAACUCGACAUUGAAGAUGUUAUCUUGUGCAGCUUCUCUGGAAAGACCAGCAGCCAAAUCUUGGAUGAUAGCACAUUGAGCAUUGAGUUGAUGACAGCACAUUGAGCAUCCUUGGACACUAUUUACUUUUCCGGCACCUUCCACAGAACAGGGCAACUGCAUGCACUCCGUAAGAACUCUUGCAAGAAAUCAAAAUAGAAUUGUGCAUCACACGGCAAACAAAACCAGACAUCACUACAACAGCUCCGCAAACCCACACUCCUCGCGGAAUC